AACCUCUUUUAGCAAGGAAGAAGCGAAAGUGACGGUACUUGCAGAAAAAGCGCCGGCUAACUACGUGCCAGCAGCCGCGGUAAUACGUAGGGCGCAAGCGUUAUCCGGAAUUAUUGGGCGUAAAGAGCUCGUAGGCGGUUUGUCGCGUCUGCUGUGAAAUCCCGAGGCUCAACCUCGGGCCUGCAGUGGGUACGGGCAGACUAGAGUGCGGUAGGGGAGAUUGGAAUUCCUGGUGUAGCGGUGGAAUGCGCAGAUAUCAGGAGGAACACCGAUGGCGAAGGCAGAUCUCUGGGCCGUAACUGACGCUGAGGAGCGAAAGGGUGGGGAGCAAACAGGCUUAGAUACCCUGGUAGUCCACCCCGUAAACGUUGGGAACUAGUUGUGGGGUCCUUUCCACGGAUUCCGUGACGCAGCUAACGCAUUAAGUUCCCCGCCUGGGGAGUACGGCCGCAAGGCUAAAACUCAAAGGAAUUGACGGGGACCCGCACAAGCGGCGGAGCAUGCGGAUUAAUUCGAUGCAACGCGAAGAACCUUACCAAGGCUUGACAUACACGAGAACACCCUAGAAAUAGGGGACUCUUUGGACACUCGUGAACAGGUGGUGCAUGGUUGUCGUCAGCUCGUGUCGUGAGAUGUUGGGUUAAGUCCCGCAACGAGCGCAACCCUCGUUCUAUGUUGCCAGCACGUAAUGGUGGGAACUCAUGGGAUACUGCCGGGGUCAACUCGGAGGAAGGUGGGGAUGACGUCAAAUCAUCAUGCCCCUUAUGUCUUGGGCUUCACGCAUGCUACAAUGGCCGGUACAAAGGGCUGCAAUACCGUGAGGUGGAGCGAAUCCCAAAAAGCCGGUCCCAGUUCGGAUUGAGGUCUGCAACUCGACCUCAUGAAGUCGGAGUCGCUAGUAAUCGCAGAUCAGCAACGCUGCGGUGAAUACGUUCCCGGGUCUUGUACACACCGCCCGUCAAGUCAUGAAAGUCGGUAACACCUGAAGCCGGUG
rnacentral:rRNA from 1 species